GAGCUGCACAGGCCAAGGAAUUCCACAGAGGGUGUGACCCAAAGCCCCUAACAACAGACUCGCUGGGACCCCCUAGACUUGGCAUGGAGGCUGGCGUCGAUUUUCCCAUCAUCCGCCUCUAAGAGCUCAGAGGUAGGGAGAUCCUGCUCCGCCCUCUCGUCCUCUUCCUCCAAGCCUGGGGAAGGGACGUCCUGGCAGGUGGUCAGGGCGUUGCAGUUCGAGUCCAGGCCAGGAUCGGGUGAAGAAGAAGCUCCGGAGCAGGAAUCAGGAGAGCAGCAGAAGCUGUCCGGUGCAGACCUAGAAGACAGAGGUGGUGAAGCCCGGCCAGUGAGGACAAGAGCUGCGGGGAAGGACACCGAGGCACCUUCAGGAUCUGGUACUGUUCUGGAGUGGCCCGUUGCAGACACUGAACCACCAGCCAGCUGCAUUUGUUGUCCUGGAUGUCAGUGCCAAUUUUGCCGGUCACACUGGGGUCCCCAAAGAGGUCAAGGCACGCUGCAAUCCUGUACCCUGAAACCAGCUAGAUGAGCAUGUCCUAUAGAGGCCAAGGCUACCAUGGGCACCCUCUGGGCAUCGGGCCCUGUCUGCAAUACACCUGCAGGAAGAGCUCGAUCAGGUUCAGAUCUGUCCCCGGCGGGUAAGGGAUGAAUCCAUGAUGUCAUCUGCCACCAGGAAGAAAGCU
rnacentral:lncRNA from 1 species